rnacentral:tRNA from 1 species
UCCCUGGUGGCUCAGACGAUAAAGCAUCUGCCUACAAUGCAGGAGACCUGGGUUUGAUCCCUGGGUCGGGAA